rnacentral:rRNA from 1 species
UACGUAGGGUGCAAGCGUUAUCCGGAAUUAUUGGGCGUAAAGAGCUCGUAGGCGGUUUGUCGCGUCUGCUGUGAAAACUGGAGGCUCAACCUCCAGCCUGCAGUGGGUACGGGCAGACUAGAGUGCGGUAGGGGAGAUUGGAAUUCCUGGUGUAGCGGUGGAAUGCGCAGAUAUCAGGAGGAACACCGAUGGCGAAGGCAGCCUCCUGGGCCAACACUGACGCUGAGGUGCGAAAGCGUGGGGAGCAAACAGG